CGACACAUCUAUAUAUGACCCUCUGCUUACAGCAGCCUCAGCUCUGCAGCAGAAGGUGCUGACCCCGGGGAGGAUGGAGGUGUGUACCUGCUUGGAGGGGAACAUGAGGAAAUGUUCCCUGGAGUGCCAAUAGCUGGGAUUGGUGGUCAAACAGGACAGCAGUGCCUGGCUAUAAACUUCACUUGGAUUGUAAGGCCUGCUCCAGCACACAGAGAGACCCAGAUGUUGGUGUGUCAUCAUGAAACCCGCAGUGAUGGGGAGCCAAACUUACCUCUAGUCCCAGCUCUUCAUGGAGAGAUGUCCCUGGGGGACCCAGCAGUGGCAGAUCAGACUCAGUGACACAAACAGGGUCAAGAACAGACGUUUGGCUCUUCAUGAACUGCUUGGAGGAAAAGGCAGCAGCAGGACCUGUGGCUGAACGGGACCCUUAAGAGCAAAAGGAUUUGGCAGACUGGGACUGCCCAUGGCCAGGGAUAGCCCUUGGAUGGACCACACAGACUCUCCAGAUGGGCUGUGACUCCAAAG